UCCGGCGGUCUUCUUUGGCGGCGACGUCACCAUCGCAACCCAUUGCGUCUGGCUUCGGGGGAGGUGGUGGUGAUUGUUCCGGGAGAAGAUGUGACGGCCGGUUAGAGAUAUCUAUAUCUCAUCUAGAGAGAGAGAGAAUGAAAUCAGAGUGAAAUGAAAGAGUAAAGUCUACCGGUGAGUGGUGGUGGACUAGCGGUGGUACUGGUGGAGAUCAACGAUGGACCAACGGUGGGAUUGGCAGUGAGUAGUUGAGAUGAAUAAGGUUUUAUGACUACAAGUGUACAAGUGUGUUUUCAGUGGGAAGGUGAAUACAUGUGUAGCUCAAAUGUAAUAAGCAUUGGGGUAUGUAACAUGUGUGGGUUACAGCUCAACAAAAAUGAGAAUAAAUAAAAAAUUUAUAUACUAAAUAAAAA